GAUGAACGCUGGCGGCGCGCCUAACACAUGCAAGUCGAACGAUUAAAGCACCUUCGGGUGUGUAUAAAGUGGCGAACGGCUGAGUAACACGUGGGCAACCUGCCCCUUUCAUUGGGAUAGCCACGGGAAACCGUGGAUAAUACCGAAUACUUCGAGACUUCCGCAUGGAAGACUCGAGAAGGCUCCGGCGGAGAGGGAUGGGCCCGCGGCCUGUUAGCUUGUUGGUGGGGGAACGGCCUACCAAGGCAAUGAUGGGUAGCUGGGUUGAGAGACCGACCAGCCAGAUUGGGACUGCGACACGGCCCAGACUCCUACGGGAGGCAGCAGUGGGGAAUCUUGCACAAUGGGCGAAAGCCUGAUGCAGCGACGCCGCGUGCGGGAUGAAGGCCUUCGGGUUGUAAACCGCUUUCAGCAGGGACGAGGCGAAAGUGACGGUACCUGCAGAAGAAGCCCCGGCUAACUACGUG
rnacentral:rRNA from 1 species